ensembl:lncRNA
GGCAAUGGGUCAGGAGAUUGGCAAACAGGCAUAAACAUGGCAAGGCAAGUAUCGAGAAUGAGAAACAAGAAGCAAAAUCAACGAACAUGAAACAAAACAUGGAACAGGGUACAAACGCCUGGUAUGGUGAUAACACUCAAUAUUCACAAAGUCAUUGUGUUCAAACAGUCUCUUUAUACUGUGGUUGUGAGUGCUGUGAAUUUAAUGCAUGAUUAGAAUGAAUGUGAUUGUUCUGGGAAUUGCCGUCCAUGGUGGCCAUGUUUGUAGGUUUGCUGUGAUAUGACAGAACCCCUCCCCCCCUCCCAAGGACGCUUCCCAAAGCGCCCUCUGGGCAAAUGUCUUCAUAGACCUUCAGGUUCCAAUGCAGGAAUUGUCUGACAUGUGACAUGUUCCUCGAGGGGCCAAGGAGCAGACCGGGGGCUGGGGCUGGUUCGCUGGGGUCAUUAGGCAAGACCCAGGCUUGGGAAGUUGUGUCGUCCGCUUUAGACAGGUGCUUGACUUGGUGGGCCGUCUCGUUGGCCCUUCUUGAGUGUGGAGCAACAUUCUCAGCAGGGCAGUAAGGCAGAAGGUGUUAGCAGAACCUGGUUGGUUGUGACGACGGCUUCAGGCGUGAGCAGAACCUGUUUGGUUGUGAGGUUGGCUUCAGGCAUGAGCAGAACGUGGUUGGUUGUGUCAGCAGACUCGUGUGUGAGCAGAGCUUGGUUGUCCAUGUCAACAGACUCAGGCAUGAGCAGAAUUUGGUUAUCCGUGUCAGCAGAUUCGGGCGUGAGCAGAACUUGGUUAUCCGUGUCAGCAGACUCGGGCGUGAGCAGAACCUGGUUGUCUGUGUCAGCAGACUCGGGCGUGAGCAGAACUUGCUUGUCCCUUAUCAGCAGACUUGGGUGUGAGCAGAUCUUGGUUGGUCGUAACGUCAGCUUCAGGCAUGAGCAGUAUCUGGUUGGUCAUGACAUUGGCUUCAGGCAUGAGCAGAAACUGGUUGGUCAUGAUGCCGGCUUCAGGCAUGAGCAGAACCUGGUUGGUCAUGACGUUGGCUUCAGGCGUGAGCAGAACCUGGUUGCUAGUGACAUCGGCUUCAGGCGUGAGCAUAACCUGGUUGUUCGUGACGUCGGCUUCAGGCUUGAGCAGAACCUGGUUGGUCAUGACAUCAGCUUCAGGUGUGAGCAGAACUGGUUGGUCAUGACGUCGGUUUCAGGCAUGAGGAGAACUUGGUUGGUUGUGUCAACAGACUCAGGAAUGAGCAUAACUUUGUUGUCCAUGUCAGCGACCUUGGCCUGGAGCUUGGUGUGGGUGGUCGCCUCAUCAGACUGGAACUUGGCAUGGAAGCUCACAACGUCAAUCUCAAACUGGAACUUAGCGUGGAAGGUCACAUCGUCAAUCCCAGACUGGAACUUAGCGUGGGGGGUCACGUUGUUGAUCUCAGACUGGAACCUGUCUUGGGAGGUCACCUCGUCGAUCUUUAACUGGAACUUGGCAUGGGAGAUCGCGUCGUCGACUUCAGACAGGAACUUGGUGUAGGAGGUCGCCUCAUCGACCUCAGACAGGAACAUGUCUUGGCAGGCUGCCUAGUCGAUCUCAGACAGGAAUGUGUCUUGGGAAGCCGUCUCUUUUCGACCUCGGACAGUAACUGGGCUGUAGAGGUCGUCUCUUCGACCUCAGACAGGAACAUGGCUUGGGAGGCCGUCUCGUUGACCUCAGAUAGGAACAUGGCAUGGGAGGACACCUCGUUGUCUU